rnacentral:rRNA from 1 species
CAGAGAUGGAUUGGUGCCUUCGGGAACUGUGAGACAGGUGCUGCAUGGCUGUCGUCAGCUCGUGUUGUGAAAUGUUGGGUUAAGUCCCGCAACGAGCGCAACCCUUAUCCUUUGUUGCCAGCGGUCCGGCCGGGAACUCAAAGGAGACUGCCAGUGAUAAACUGGAGGAAGGUGGGGAUGACGUCAAGUCAUCAUGGCCCUUACGACCAGGGCUACACACGUGCUACAAUGGCGCAUACAAAGAGAAGCGACCUCGCGAGAGCAAGCGGACCUCAUAAAGUGCGUCGUAGUCCGGAUUGGAGUCUGCAACUCGACUCCAUGAAGUCGGAAUCGCUAGUAAUCGUGGAUCAGAAUGCCACGGUGAAUACGUUCCCGGGCCUUGUACACACCGCCCGUCACACCAUGGGAGUGGGUUGCAAAAGAAGUAGGUAGCUUAACCUUCGGGAGGGCGCUUACCACUUUGUGAUUCAUGACUGGGGUGAAGUCGUAACAAGGUAACCGUAGGGGAACCUGCGGUUGGAUCAC